CCCUUAGAUGUUCUGGGCCGCACACGCGCUACACUGAAGGAGGCAGCGUGUACUCCUGGAUCGAAAGAUUUGGGUAACCCGCGAAUCUCCUUCGUGCUAGGGAUUGAGGUUUGCAAUUAUCCCUCAUGAACGAGGAAUUCCCAGUAAGUGCAAGUCAUAAGCUUGCGCUGACUACGUCCCUGCCCUUUGUACACACCGCCCGUCGCUACUACCGAUUGAAUGAUUUAGUGAGGACUUCGGACUGGGACCGAUGCGGCUUUCGGGCUGCGUCGGUAUUCUGGAAAGAUGUCCAAACUGUAUCAUUUAGAGGAAGUAAAAGUCGUAACA
rnacentral:rRNA from 1 species